CGCGCAUGCCCGCGCCCCCCGCGCCUGCGCGCCGCGCCCCGCGACGCCGCCGGCAGCCGGGCCUGCCGCCCGCACCGAGGGGGUCGCGGGGCCCGCGGCGGCCCCGCGCUGCCCCUCCGCGCCCCGCGCAGCGCCGCCGCCGCCCGGCCCGGCCCGGCUUGGCUUGGCUCGGCCCGGCCCGGCCCGACCCGACCCGACCCCGUCUGGUCCGGCCCGGCCCGGCCCGGCGCAGCCGCCGCGGAGCGGAGCGGAGCGGGGCCGGCGGCCGAAGAGCCUCGCCGGGAAGGCAGCCGCUGGCGUUGCGCGGCAGCUCGGGGUUGCGCGCCCCGCGCCUCGCAGCGCCCCGCAGUAAGUCCCUGGGACGCGCUUUCGGUAACUGCUGCGCGGCCCCCGCACCCCAGCGCGGCCCGAAGGCGGCCCCGGGCUGCGGUGUCGGGGCUCCCCCUCCCCCCGACUUCUUCCAGCUGCGCUGCUGUGGAUCACCUAUAACCACAACCACAGCCAUUUUGUUGUCCAAAUACUACCUAAUCUCUGCUUGAGUACAGGCUUCGUCUGUUUACAAAUAGAUAUUUUUCUUGUUUUGGUGUUUUAAGCUGCAGUGCAGCAGCUUUCUGAACUCACAGGUCCCACUCCUUGCAAAUAAUACCGAGGUGUUCAUCGUACUGUACAUAACCAUACAUGCUUUUCAUUUAAUUCUAGGACUGUGACAUUUUUCGUUUAUUUCUCUUGGGAGGUAAGGAUAGAAAAUAGCACUACUGUGAAAAUUUUUGUACUCAUACCUAAUUUGAGUAAGGGGUUACAGCAUAAACGUAUUGCUCCAGCUCUCACCUAUGAAACCAAACAUAAAUGCCACUGGUGAAGGACUUGGCUUCGUGUAAGCAGCCUUACUGGCUCCCCACGCAGCAUCAUUUCUGCAGCUGUACAGCCCCAGCAAGAGCACUGAUGGAAAUUUAUGGUUCAACAGAUACCACUCAACAGUGGUGGUGUGAGCUUUAUGUGGUCCCGUCUCCGUCCUGCCUCUCCUCCCUGCCACGCAUUUAAGACAUUUUGUCACCACUUUUUGCUGGUUCACACUGUUGUGAGACAACAUUGAAGCUGAAUAUGGAAUUAAUCUAGACUCAAGAAAAAAGAACAGCAAUUAGCGCCCACUCAAGGGUUGCAGCGGUGGUCAGAGGGGCAGGACAACAGUUGCUGAUGUGAGCCCUGCUGCCUGCAGAAAGGUACAUGGUACUAUGGUUUACAAUGGAUUUAAGUAAAUUUCUUACAGUUUCAUUAAGACUAGGCUCUUUGCAGCACCAAAAUGGGUAAAUGUUUGGGGUGAAGAACAAAUCCUUUGCCUUAUAUAUACUGUCAACAGAUGCAGUGUUAAAUACAGGCAGCAUCUACAUUCCACUUCUUACGAAAAGUAGCUGGAAUAUACAAGUCCCAUCAUUAAAAGCCAGAGGCAAGCCUAAAAGCUUUCAUACCGUAUGGCCUGGCCAGAGUGGCUCCAGUCAUGUAACAUUAGCUACAGGAACACAAUUAAAACAAUUGAAGCAGAAAGCUCACCACAGUACGCCUCAAAAGAGAACCAGUCAAUCACAGACUUGUUAGCAACCAACAUGAAGCAGCCAUAAGAUGUGUGACCUUAGGUAUAUUACACAUGGAAUUUCCAGAAGCUGGAAGAAUAGUUGUGGUAUAAUACAACGCCCUGGCCAAGACCUCUUCUGGAAUAUUAAAUACUGUUCCAGCCACCAGUUUAAUUUAAUCUUCCUGCAAAAAAGUGUGGAAAGGGUCAUUAGAAUGAUCAGAGAAAUUAAGAGUCUAUCAUAUGAGAAGAGCUUGACUUAGCUGAGCAAAAUUUAGGUGAUGGAUAUGACUGAUGUUUUUAAUUAUAAGGAGGCAUAAUCAUCAGUGAGGAAGAAAAAAUAAAUAAGCAUAAAGUGCUUAUGUUGAGCUUGAAAACCCUGCUCCCUACACAUAAAACUCUUUAGUCAGAAAUCGCAAGAUGGAAUUCCUUAGGAGGAAUGAUAAAUGAUGUGAAGUUAAUAGUCAACCAUGCUUGGCAGCCGUGCUCAAAUUCACUGCAAGAUAGUUGAGUGAAAGUCUUGACAGUGGCCAAAUAGUGUCAUAAUUAAAGAAGUUACACUGCACAGCUUAUACCAUAAAACUUCUGUGAUUACCCAAGACGUGUCUGGAGAGAAGAUAGAAAAGAAAGUCAUGUGAGCACCCAGGAAAUCCCCGUCAAUGAAAACCAACAUAAGAUUUCAGGAAAGUAUGUAUGGCCAAACGUCUAACUAAAAUUAAACAUGUCCACAGGAUACACAAGCAGUAAAGCAAUUCCUAACCACACAACUGAGAAAAAAGGGGAGGGGAAAACUAUUUAAUACAAGCUGCCACAAACCAGGCAAAAAGAGUGAAGAAACUUUCCAGUUUUAACACAUGGCACUAAUCUACAUGCUGCUUACCAUGACACACUGCAGAACUACAGUCUAGGCUCCAACAGCAACAGGCCAUAUGAGGGAAAAUUAGCAUAAAAUCAAAGAGGCAAGAUGUACUAAUUCCUUCCUAAAAAGAAACAAUCCAGUGACUUACAGUUUGAGAGAAAGGUUUCCAAAGCCCUCCCAAAGGAAUUCUUCCUCCUCCCUUCCAUAUGUAUUGAAGAUUACCAUUAAACAAAUGGUUCUGCAAUCAUUAGAACAGACAUGCACAGCUUUCCAACAAUCAGCAUCUUCUGUUUGAAAAGUGCAAGUUCUGCUUUGAUUAUGUCUAUGCUACCUCUGUGAUCUGCACCAACGAACGAACCCCAUCCAUGAGCAAACCAUAGACUGAUAAGUCUCUGUUGGCUUAUAGAGCGCCAAUCCUGAAGCUGCAGAAAAGUAGCCCCAAGAAUACCACUUACUUCACUCCAGACUAAUGCCAAAUCAGACUAGUGUAUGUGGCAUGGACAUGUGUUAUGCUCUAGAGCCCUAUAGCGAAAUAGGAAGAGAGCUGGUCUAACACCUUUUCCCAUGCUUGGGAAUAUACGUAGUUCCCUCUUGUGAAUGUGAAUGUGCUACAGCUUUACUGUAGCAGGGACAUUCAGGUCGUUUCUUCUUCCUUUUUCCUGACAUCUACUUUCACAAAAUUUGCAGAAAGAUGAUUAUAUUUUACACUUUUACUCCUCCUUCAAAUUUGUUUUGUAUUAAUCAAUGGAUCCAAAUCUUUUGGGUGGGGAGGAAGAAAGGGAGGGAAAAGCGCAAAUGAUCACAGAAUACUUAUUUUCAUAGGAAAUUAUUUAAAAAACUGCACAUGAACGUGUAGUUUAAACAUCCUCUGUUUCUUGUCCACCUGCUCACCAAUACAGAAAUUUAAUUCUUCCAUGACCUUGAACAAGUCACUCUGCCAUAGAAAAUUUAAGUCAGUCAGUAAAAGUACCUCUUUCCCUCCCCAGUCCCGGUAGAUCUUUUUUAUUUCAAAUGCUAAGUAGGGGCUUCCUUUUACUGUGUGUUUUUUCAGAAUUUAAUGUAAUGUAGCCUUGAUCUUGGUUACAGCUUCUAAAUACUACAGUGAUCCAAUCAUAACACAGACUUUAAAAAGUAAAACUGUAAGCAAAUUAAGGUAUUUAAUUAAUAAGCAGCAAAAUAUGGAUGAAACCUUAACUCUUUUUAAUCCAUGUAUCACUGGUCUUCUGAUAAGAAGAUCUCCAAAUGUAAGCUUUCUACUAAGUAACCAGAAGAUAAAAAUCAUAUGUUCCUUUAUCUGCUUACUAGAAUUAUAGUUAAAGACUUCAGCUUUAUAAAAGCACAGGAAAAGUUACCACAUUUAGAAGAGAUUCACAGCUGUGUAUCAAUAUUUGGCUUAUGUAGAGAUCAAUCCAACAUUUAUAUAAUUUUCGGGAACUAAAUGUUAAGAGGUAACAAACUAAAUCACAUGUGGCUAUCAGGAACACCAUAUGUAAUCACCAUGUACAAAUAAAUAAUGACAUGAUUCCAUUUCAACUCCACUGUUAUACACUGAUAAAAUCUCAGGAGUUUGCUGAAGCUGCAUGUGUAGUCAUAACAACAAAAAUUUGUGACCCUCUGCUUUAAAUCAUGUAUACCUGGCAAUAGCUGCACCAGAUGGCUUUAAACUGGGUACAAAAGUAUUACAAAAACCAGCUGUAUAAGGCUUCAGUAUCAUAAUGAGAUUAUAAUCAUAUGAUGUUUUGUGUGACAAAGUCAUUAUGAUUUAAGCAGUUUGUAAAGAGAUUCGUUAGUGCUUCUCAGGAUCCUAUUUUGCAAUGGAUUUACCACAAUAGUGGUUUUUAUGUUACAUAGCAGAAAUUAUUACAUAGCAGACAGUUUUAUGAAUCCAGGUAUCUACUUUGGUGGGGAUGGAACAGUAGAUGAAUCAUAAGACUUCCUUAAAGAUAGUCGGUGGUGCAGUUUGCAUAAGAAAAGCACCAGCAAACUAGCUGGUUAUCAGUCUCAGAUGUACAGAAACUUCAGUCCUCCUCCAGGAUUUUGAGAAGUGUAAAACUAAUUUAUAUGUUCACUCAUGUGCACAUGAUUUUUACAGUGGAUUUUUACACACCUGCUAAUUUUAACCUGUAAUUUUCUAUCUGUAGUCUUCCUUUCUACAGUGGAUAAAUGAAGUUUCUGUUUAAUAUUACAGCUGUAGAUCGGGGGAAAUGACACCAGAGAAGUUUGUAUUCAAAAGGUGCAAAACCCACCAGAUAGAUAGUCCUGCCAUUCUCUGGUGAAACUGAUUCGGAAACUUUGGGGUUUUUUUAAUACAGUGUAGCAUCCUAGUCUGCUAUGUGAUAAUUAGAGUAGCUAAAUGAAUUGAAUAGUACAGAUACUUUAGAAGUCCGAUAAGUGGGUUUUUGCAAAAAGAUGGAUACAGGAUAGCCAUUAAAACAACUCAGCACUUAGCAAGCCAAAUUAAAAGCCACUAUGAGCCAAUCUCCCUAAAGCCACUCUGGCCAGUUCAGUCCCUAUGCUAUUUCUGUUCUCUUCGUAAUUUCAGAAGAUGUCUCAAACACCAUGUGAGUGCCAUCACAGAAGACUUGAGCUAGGAAAGUGUAUUAAAUAGACACUUAUGGCAGAGAAUUCUAUUUUAACAUCCUCCAAAAUAACACAAGAAAAAAAAAUCUAAAUUAAGCUUUUGGUUCCAUCUUAGCCAAAGAAGCCAGCAUUUAAAAAAGAAACAGAAAAAUGGAGAAUUGAAACAUAAAUUCUAAGCAAGAUACUCUUGUAUCCCAACAAAAACAUAUUUCUCAAACAAGUGUUGCAAGUUACUUUACCCCCAACAAUGACUGAAACACUAUAGCAGCAGUAAUCAGAUGAAACAGGAAAUCUAAGGAGACGCAUGCUGCACAAAUCUAUGAAUAGAAAAUGCACAACAACAAAACUUACAACAGUGAACUCUGGAAGGUUUAAAGAUAAAACGCUACUAAAAAAACAGGCCAUGAACUAGAGGUGGAAAUUAACAGUUGCUACACAUUUCAUAUCCAAGAAAGUUAUGCAAGCACUGGAAAAAAAAAUAAAUCGCACAUUCUUUGGUUCCAGUGUCUAAAAGCUUGUUCUAAACAAUUUUGCUCAAGUAUUGGUUAGACUCUAAAUCCAUUAACAUAGCACUGUACUGCAGCUAAUGUAUGCUACUUUUCAAGAGGAUUAUUUGUCUAAUGUAUUACCAUAUCUAGACUGUUUCUGAUACCAAAGCUAGUAAUGGUAACUAUCAUUUAUCAUAAGACUGCUUUGUACAGUGCAGACAUGCAUCUUCACUGGGCACAGCAACUUGCCAAUUGCUUGUAAGAAGCAAAGCGGUUUCAUCUUUUUCUGAAAUAGUUCCAGUUUUCAGCCAGCAGUCCCUGAGAGUUCCGUUCAGACCCAUCUUCCUUCCCAAUACUUUCUCUACCUCAAGAGCAUUCUCCGUGUCCCAGCUUCCACCACACACUUGAACAUCCAGUCUCAGCACUAUGGUACAACCUGUAUGAAAUACUUAUCUCAAACUCACAUUUUAAAGCACACUACCCAGGGUCCCUGGUCUAACACUUCAUCAGGUGGGAGUACAUUCACUGCAGAAGACUGAGGGGUAGAUUCUUAACGGUGUGGCUGUUUGAGAAGAUGUGAGACAUGACUGACAGAUCAAAGAGUUCUUCAUAGGCUAAAAUUCAACUUCCCUGUAUUGACAGCUACUCAGGAAAGAUCACAGGGGUAUUGUUUUAAAACACUGUGUUUCAUACCGCUUCUUGAAAUUACUAAGCAUAUAUAGCACUGGUGCAGCGAAUCACUUGUAUUUUACUUAUUAAAUAUUUAUCUGUUUUGUUUUAUUUGAAACAGGUUUUUGGUGAAUAAAAGCAAUAGUAAUAUUUUUGAAGGCCAUAUCCAGAGUCUAGAGGAAGGCUCUUAACCAUCCAGUUGGGAAAGAAAAUAAGAAACUUGUAGGAGUUCCCUGCGUUUUUGAAAGGCAUAGCAAAGUUAUUUAGAUUUUGAGAUAUAAAAACACUUGGGAAUGGAGAAAGUUUUUUCUCCUCAGUAUUAAGUCCACAUUCAAACAGCAUUCUACAUUCCUAGGGUUUUCUCUCUCCCAGUGCCCGAGUGAAUAACGAAAACCACAAAACAUGUGUCCCCAAAGAUCUUCAAACAUUUCUCAUGAGCUCUUACAGGAAGCAGACAUGUUGAAAUCACCAAAGAAAGCAAGCCUGUUCGUCUUGUAUUUCUGGCUAAGGCUGGAAGUGGAGCGCAAGAAAUCAGUUGUGUCUCGUCUGUUGUACAGGGAAACCUCUUGCAGCUCCUCACAUCAGCGUGCUAACUUUGCGAAGAGAUUUGUCCUGAUGAGAUUCACAUCCCAACCUGGAAAAGUCAAUGAUAGGAUCUCCUGUAAGCACUGCAAAUUCCGUACUCAGUCCAAAUGGAUCCCGAAGGCCUUAGCAGGAAUUUGGGCGUAGUGAAUGACAUGCCUGACAGCUUAAAGGCCACUGCAGUAGAAAACAUGUUUUAUAUUUUAGCAUUGGCUUACAUACAAUGAGAAAUUGUUUCACAGACAUUUUGAUACCAUCAUCCUUGAAAACGUCUCACAGGCCACCCUACACUUCUGCCUUCAAACUCUUUGCCAGACAUUUUACAGAGGUGAUAUGGCUGCAGAGACCAGGUAUGGAUGGACCUCAGUUAUGGUCUCACUGAUUUGAUGAACUUUUGAAUUAAAUCCUCCUCUUAAUGAUAUAAAUA